rnacentral:rRNA from 1 species
CGGCGGCCGUAACUAUAACGGUCCUAAGGUAGCGAAAUUCCUUGUCGGUUAAAUACCGACCUGCAUGAAUGGCGUAACGAGAUGGGAGCUGUCUCAACCAGAGAUUCAGUGAAAUUGUAGUGGAGGUGAAAAUUCCUCCUACCCGCGGCAAGACGGAAAGACCCCGUG